UAAUACGGAGGGGGCGAGCGUUGCUCGGAAUUACUGGGCGUAAAGGGUCCGCAGGUGGCUUAGUAAGUUAGAUGUGAAAUCUCAGGGCUCAACCCUGAAACUGCAUCUAAUACUGCUUAGCUUGAGUACAGGAGAGGUUGGCGGAAUUCCCGGUGCAGCGGUGAAAUGCGUAGAUAUCGGGAGGAGCACCAGUGGCGAAGGCGGCCAACUGGCCUGUUACUGACACUCAGGGACGAAAGCGUGGGGAGCAAACCGGAUUAGAUACCCGGGUAGUCCACGCCCUAAACGAUGGAUGCUAGGUGUGGGGAUGAAAAUCUCUGUGCCGUAGUUAACGCAUUAAGCAUCCCGCCUGGGGAGUACGAUCGCAAGAUUG
rnacentral:rRNA from 1 species